GUAAAGACUGGUCUUACUAAAGGAACAGGUGAGAGUAAUGACAACCUACCAGUUGGAUCCCACAACCUUGUCCCAAUAAUCUCAAAGGAGGAACCCGAGAAACAAGGCCAUCAUCAGUUUACCACAAAUGAGGAAUUGAAUCAGCCACAGGAGGCUGUUGAAGAUAAUAAACCAGGAAAUGAAAACCAGAAAGCAGCUUUAACUGACGAGACCCCAAAGGAAGGUGGCUUAGAGUUUAGCGAGAAGUCUGCAGAAACGACAGGGACAAACACGAAGCUAGGUGGCUUAGAGUUUAUCGAGAAGUAUGCAGAAAAGACUGGGGCAAACAGGAUGCAAGGUGGCUUAGUGUUUAGCAAGAAGUCUACAGAAAAGACUGGGGCAAACACGAUGCUAGGUGGCUUAGAGUUUUGCGAGAAGUCUGCGGAAAAGACGGGGACAAAGCGAGACUAUGAUUUAUUCUCAGCGCAAGAAAAGCCACUGAAACAUUGUGAGAGGUUGCAAGAUGUUAAAAGCAGUGGGAGAUGCGGAAGGAAGAAAGGAAAGGGAAAGUCUAACGUUAAGAAACCUAAAGAGUCUACUUUACAUUUCUUUUUCGAUGAGAAAUAGUUAGUUUGUGUCUGCGUAACGUCUAUGAGGACUAUGUUGGGCUACUUUAGUUGUAGAUAACCUUAGAUAUGUACCGGUUGUUUUGGAAAUGUUGCUUGUAUAUAUGUUGUAUUCGAUCUUUGAUCUAAGCUAAAUGGACACAAAAUUCUCAAACUCAUUGUGACAGUGUGAGAAAAAGAUCUGAGAUUUCAUGCUUUUUUCAUGUUAGUCGUUCGAAAUUUGAAGUCUUAUACUUUUCUGUCUUUUUUUCACUGAAUAAAUUAUAUUGAUAACCAAACUACCAAAGUGUUCGGUAAUAUUACAAAUCACAAGAAAAAAGAGAGAGUGAAAUUACAGGUAAAAGUCAAAUUUCAACAUGAACCAUUUUAAAAGUGUAUUUAUAUAUCUCAACUUUUAUAACGUAUAAAUUUCAACCUGAAUUAAAUAUUGUUUCGAAUAAAACUACACGAACUAUCAUCUAGGUAAUAAUUUUCAAGAAAUUUUGAACUAGUUGUUUAAGUUAAGUUAUAAUUAAAGAAAAAAAAUUCCAGUUUUGACACAUGGCAUAUGACUCAGCAAAAUUUGUACAUGUGGCAUAUGAUUCAGCAAAAUCUGACUCAUCGUAGUUGACCAACAUAAUCCCGGUCAAUAUUGAUUUUUGCAUAAAUUUGAAAAAAUAUUUAGUUUAAGUUGAAAUUCACACGUUAGCAAAGUUGAGGUAUAAAUAUACACUUUUCAAAUUGUCCAUGUUGAAAUUUGCCUUUUACCCGUGAAAUUACAAAGACAAUGAUUUUUCCAAACCUACAACUAGAAGAGGAGACGGUUUUCAAAUACAUUGCUUAUACCAAAAACAUCUUGUCUCGAGACAGAAAUAGCUCUCGAAAUACCAUAAAGACUUCCUGCAAUGGCAGAGGUAGAUAAGAAGCAUAGGGGUCAUUUGACCCUGUUGAAUUUUUCAAAUUAGAUGAAUUUUUAGGAAAAAUAUCAAAUUGACCCUUGUAAAAUAACACAAUUGACCCUUAUAAAAAAAUUUAAUAACACAAUUAACCUUUAUAUAAAAAAAUUGAUACUCAUGAACUGAUUUCCUAGCUCCGCCACUCUUUCCGGAUAUCAAAGGAUGAUAACGGGCUUCAACGCAUGCAAUACAUUUUUCUCUGCGAAUGCUUUCUCUACGAGUUCUUUGUCAUUCUUAACUGUUUUUUUUUCUCAAAAGAGAUACCAUUUUGUAUUACCAAGAAUUGAAACCAAUUAAAAACAGCCUUAGUAUACACAGAAGGAAAGGAAAAUACAAGUACCCAAAAACAUGAGGAGAGAAAAAAUAAGUAGCUACUGCUGUUUGAACCAUACCAUAGAUGUAGAAGGAACUCAGUCCAAACCAGCCAACCGCCUUCUUAACUUAAUAUCGCUCCGUCAUUCUUAACUCGAUCCGCCAGUCUAUGAAAAAUGGGAUUUUGCUUUAACCAGGUACUGUUAACCAGAUUCCCUUUGUUAGUGUACAACUAAAGGUCGAUAAUUGCAUUUCAAGUCAUGUUAUUGUCAGGAUCAUAUCUUGGAACUCUCUCCAUUCUGUAUUGUUUCAAUCUGUACGCUUAUCGUCAUUUAUAAAUACGGAUUAUGCCACUUGCAGAUAACGCUUAAGGCUUCACAAAAUAGCUUGAUCUCGAAGUUUUUCUCAACAAAGCAUCCCAAAACAGACAAAGAAACCGCAUCAACAGAUAUCACAGGUGGUUUGAAAGAGGAACCUACGGUUGAAGGUCAUGAUGGGGCUGUAUUUCCUGACAGCAUUAAGAAAAUUGAAGAAUUAGGCGAGGAGAAAGAUGUAUCGAAUGAAACCAGAAAUCUGGAUUUUCCAAAGACUGUGAAAGCAGAACCAUUUGUUGCAUUUCAUCCCGGACGUGUAAAGGAUGAAGUUGAGGAGGAUAGAAAUGGAGAAAAGAAAUCCAUAAAGACUGGUCUUACUAAAGAAACAAGUGCAAGCAAUGACAACCUACCAGUUGGAUCCCACAACCUUGAUCUCCCUAUAAUCCCGAAAGAGGAACCCGAGACGCAAGGCCAUCAUCAGUUUACCACAAAUGAGGAAUUGAAUCAGCCACACGAGGCUGUUGAAGAUAAUAAACCAGGAAAUGAAAACCAGAAAGCAGCN
rnacentral:lncRNA from 1 species